UAUGGUGAUUAUUGCGGCGGGGUCCACCUCUUACCAUUCCGAACAGAGAAGUUAAGCCCGCCAGCGCUGAUGGUACUGCAGUAAAAUGUGGGAGAGUAAGUCGUUGCCAGUCUUUAUCAAAGGGUAGUUCUUAAUUGAGCUACCCUUUUUUUAUGCGCUAG
rnacentral:rRNA from 1 species